rnacentral:tRNA from 1 species
UUAGCUGAAACCAAAAAGAGGUAUAUUAUUGUUAAUAAUAAAAGUGAAUUAACUAUUCCAGUUAAA